rnacentral:rRNA from 1 species
CACCAAUCCAUCCCGAAUUUGGUGGUUAAACUCUACUGCGGUGACGAUACUGUAGGGGAGGUCCUGCGGCAAAAUAGCUCGAUGCCAGAAUGAUAAAAAGCUUAACACCUCUUAUUUGACU